ACGAACGCUGGCGGCGCGCUUUACGCAUGCAAGUCGAACGCCCCGAGCAAUCGGGGAGUGGCGGACGGCUGAGUAACGCGUAGGUAACCUAUCCAGUGGCGGGGGAUAACCCGCCGAAAGGCGAGCUAAUACCGCAUGUGUCCGGUGGGUGAAACUCCUGCCGGGGAAAGCAGUAAUGCGCCAUUGGAGGGGCCUGCGUCCUAUCACGGUAGUUGGUGGGGUAACGGCCUACCAAGCCUGUGACGGGUAGCUGGUCUGAGAGGACGACCAGCCAGAAGGGGACUGAGACACGGCCCCUACUCCUACGGGAGGCAGCAGCGAGGAAUCUUGGGCAAUGGGCGAAAGCCUGACCCAGCGACGCCGCGUGAGGGAUGAAGGCCUUCGGGUCGUAAACCUCUUUUGUGAGGGAAGAAGUUCUGACGGUACCUCACGAAUAAGCCACGGCUAACUACGU
rnacentral:rRNA from 1 species